AGAGUUUGAUCCUGGCUCAGAGUGAACGCUGGCGGCGUGCCUAACACAUGCAAGUCGAACGAUGAUAGGAAGCUUGCUUCCUUGAUUAGUGGCGCACGGGUGAGUAUACCAUAGAUAAUGUACCUCUUAGUUCGGGAUAGCCACUGGAAACGGUGAUUAAUACCGGAUACUCCUUCUCGUUAUAAGGCGAGUCGGGAAAGUUUUUUCGCUAAGAGAUCAGUCUAUGUCCUAUCAGCUAGUUGGUGAGGUAAUGGCUCACCAAGGCUAUGACGGGUAUCUGGUUUGAGAGGAUGAUCAGACACACUGGAACUGAGACACGGUCCAGACUCCUACGGGAGGCAGCAGUGAGGAAUAUUGCACAAUGGAGGAAACUCUGAUGCAGCAACGCCGCGUGGAGGAUGACGCAUUUCGGUGUGUAAACUCCUUUUAAGAGGGAAGAUAAUGACGGUACCUCUUGAAUAAGCACCGGCUAACUCCGUGCCAGCCGCCGCGGU
rnacentral:rRNA from 1 species